GGAAGUAAAAGUCGUAACAAGGUAUCUGUAGGUGAACCUGCAGAUGGAUCAUUUCGAUGAAAACCUUUUUUCUUGAGGUGUGGCUCGCACCUGUCUAACUAAAUCGAGCUACCAAAUUUUAACACGGUUGCAUCGGUUGGCUGUCAAACAGUGCGCGCGGCGAAUUCAUUUUCGCCCGCGCUCUGCGAGACGGUCGACACUUUACCAAAAACACUGUUGAUACCAUAGGAUUUGAACGUAGAUGAAACUCGACUGGUAAUGCGGUCGUCUAAAAUCUAAAAACAACUUUUGGCAACGGAUCUCUUGGUUCUCCCAUCGAUGAAGAACGCAGCGAAUUGCGAUAAGUAAUGUGAAUUGCAGAAGUGAAUCAUCGAAUCUUUGAACGCACCUUGCGCUCCCGGCAGAUCUAAUCUGGGGAGCAUGCCUGUUUGAGGGCCGCGAAUUGUUUCGAACGACAGCUUUCUUAUUUAGUUGAGAGAGCUGGCGGAUCGGUAUUGAGGGUCUUGCCAUUUUCCACGGUGGCUCCCUCGAAAUGCAUUAGCGCAUCCAUUCGAUAGGCAAGACGGACGAAAGCUCGUUAUUUCGCCCACGUCCUUCCCUGCCGGGUUUUGAUAAUAUCAGGACUUCGGAGAGGAAAGGCGCUGGGUCGAGGAGCUGGACGCGACGUUUUGCUGGUUGGAGUGCUUCUGAACCCCGCCCAUGCCUCCUUCUCCGGAAGAGGAAGGGAUUUAAUUUCAAUUCAUCGGCCUCAGAUUGGUAGGACUACCCGCUGAACUUAAGCAUAUCAAUAAGCGGAGGA
rnacentral:rRNA from 1 species